AGCAUUAAAUUCAGGAAGUAUUUAUUAAGUUUCGUUUUCUAAGAAUUGGGCCUUCCUGUCUUCCUGGAGUUUGUGAAGCCUGUCAUGGAGGUACAAUUAAUCCCCCCCUUCUUUUCUUACGCGGGACAUCUCGCAUUAAGUCAUUGAGCACGCAGUACAGAAGCAAUUGGUAUUCAGCAUCCGCUAGUUACAUAUAUAUGUGUGUGUGUGUGUGUGUGUGUGUGUGUGUGUGUAUUCAUUUCAACAAAUCAGGCUCCUCUGAAUCUCUUUUUUGGGGUGGGGAGUUUGAAGGGAGCCGGGUUAGGCCUCCUCCUUGGCCCCAGAACCCUACUUCAGCAAGAAUCCUGUCAAGCUGGUUUAGCAACACCCUCCCACCCCCUUGAUGCUUAAAUUCCCCCUGGUAAUUUACUAUGCACUAUCUCCCUCACUCUGCCCAGUUAGCUAUGAAUAUCCAGCUACUACUGUAUUCGAAGCUGGCCUUUGCAAUGAUGUUUGACAACGUCUUUGUUGUCUUUCUUGCUUGGUCCUGUGGUUUUCUGACACAACCCAGCCUCAGAGUGCGGCUCGCAGACUUCCACCACUUACCCUGCGGCUUGCUGGGCUGCAUGGCCUUCUGGGAAAUGCAGUGCCUGACCUCGCCAUGCACUGGAUGGGCCUGGCUGGCCACAGGGACCGGACUGUGCCUAGAAGCCGCUUGGCAUUCCUUCUGCACUAGGACUUCGCGGGAGCUCUUGAGGCAGGCAUGGGCCAGGCGGCAGAGCCAAACCAAGAGUCGCUGAGCCCACUCUUGUACGUGAGAGUGGGCAAAGGGAGAGGCUUAUCUUCAGAUGAUGAGACCUGAUAUGCUACCUACUGUGCUAACAAGGCCCCUGAGACUCUCUCUAAUAUGACCAGAUCACCAGGCACAGACUCUGAUACUGUGUAUAGGCUGUAGAAUGUAAUAGAGGAGAGUAAUGAGAAUAAAAUAAAUACAUAUAAAUAAA